AACGAACGCUGGCGGCAGGCCUAACACAUGCAAGUCGAGCGAGGACUUCGGUCCUAGCGGCGGACGGGUGAGUAACGCGUGGGAACGUGCCCUUUGCUUCGGAAUAGCCCUGGGAAACUGGGAGUAAUACCGGAUGAGCCCUUUGGGGGAAAGAUUUAUCGGCGAAGGAUCGGCCCGCGUUGGAUUAGGUAGUUGGUGGGGUAAUGGCCUACCAAGCCGACGAUCCAUAGCUGGUUUGAGAGGAUGAUCAGCCACACUGGGACUGAGACGCGGCCCAGACUCCUACGGGAGGCAGCAGUGGGGAAUCUUAGACAAUGGGGGAAACCCUGAUCUAGCCAGGCCGCGUGAGCGAUGAAGGCCUUAGGGUUGUAAAGCUCUUUAAGCUGGGAAGAUAAUGACGGUACCAGCAGAAGAAGCCCCGGCUAACUCCGUG
rnacentral:rRNA from 1 species